rfam:Tupaia chinensis contig76441, whole genome shotgun sequence.
CGGUUUCCUGCUUCAACAGUGCUUGAAUGGAACCCG